rnacentral:rRNA from 1 species
CAGUCGCCGCGGUAAUACGUAGGUGGCAAGCGUUGUCCGGAAUUAUUGGGCGUAAAGGGCUCGCAGGCGGUUUCUUAAGUCUGAUGUGAAAGCCCCCGGCUCAACCGGGGAGGGUCAUUGGAAACUGGGAAACUUGAGUGCAGAAGAGGAGAGUGGAAUUCCACGUGUAGCGGUGAAAUGCGUAGAGAUGUGGAGGAACACCAGUGGCGAAGGCGACUCUCUGGUCUGUAACUGACGCUGAGGAGCGAUAGCGUGGGGAGCGAACAGGAUUAGAUACCCGAGUAGUCCCUGUCUCUUAUAU